GACGAACGCUGGCGGCGUGCUUAACACAUGCAAGUCGAACGGGCCUUGUCCCCUUUUUUUUUGGGGGUGGGGUUAGUGGCGAACGGGUGAGUAACACGUGAGUAACCUGCCCCUCACUUCUGGAUAACCGCUUGAAAGGGUGGCUAAUACGGGGUGUUCUGGCCUGCUCGCAUGGGUGGGUUUGGAAAGAUUCGACCGGUUUGGUUGUUUUGGUGGGGGAUGGGCUCGCGGCCUAUCAGCUUGUUGGUGGGGUGAUGGCCCGCCAAGGCUUUGACGGGUAGCCGGCCUGAGAGGGUGGGCGGUCACACUGGGACUGAGACACGGCCCAGACUCCUACGGGAGGCAGCAGUGGGGAAUAUUGCACAAUGGGCGCAAGCCUGAUGCAGCGACGCCGCGUGAGGGAUGGAGGCCUUCGGGUUGUGAACCUCUUUCGCCAGUGAAGAAGGUCCUGCUCUUUGUGGUGGGGUUGACGGUAGCUGGGUUAAUGAAGCGCCGGCUAACUACGUG
rnacentral:rRNA from 1 species